CAUCUAGUCCAGCACUUUCACUUCACAGAUGAACAGAGGUCCAUGAAAGCUAAAUAACUUGCAAGAUUUGAACCCUGAGCUCUGCCUUUCCUCUGUACCAUGCUGCCUCCCAUAGCCUUCAUUCUGUUCUCUGGACUCCUUCAGAAUAUACCUAAUUUUUCUUUUAUGAGAGCACUUCAAAUAUCCAAAGGGAAUAAAAGUUGAUGAACUAGUAUUUAAAUGAAGGGGUGAAGUUAAAUCAAGAUCUCAGGAUAAAAGGGCACUAGAUGGCACAGUGGAUAGAAUGCCAGGCCUGGAAUCAGGGAGAUGUGAAUUCAAAUUUGAUCUCAGACACUUAUUGACAGUGUGAUCCCUGUUUGCCUCAGUUUUCUCAUCUGACAAAUGAACUAGUGAAAAAAUGGCAAACCACUCUAGAAUCUCUGCCAAGAAAAUCUCAAAUGGGGACACAGAGAACUGGACACGAUAGAGAUUAUUGAACCACAACAAAUAAUGCAGGGGAAAAUGUAGCCAGAACUCAACAGUUUGAGAUCUUUAGAGGCAACUAGGUGGUGCAGACCUAGGUCAGAAAGACCCAAAUUCAAAUUUAGCCUUAAACACUGAUUAGCUGUGAGAUCCUGGGCAAGCCACUUAACCUUCCAGAGAGCUACCUCAGUUUUUUCAGCUAUAAAAUGGGGAUAACAGCACCUACCUCUCAGGGUUAUUAUGAGGAUCAAAUAAGAUAGUUGUAAAGUACUUUGUAAUCAUUAAAGUACUAUUAAAUGCGUAUACUAUUAUGAUGGUUAUUAUCAUUAGUAGUUCACUGAAACCAUGUUUUCUGAACUUGGAUUUAGGAGACCUCAUUCAAGGCCCUCUGACAAUUAUUAGCAUUGGGCAAGUCAUUUUAUUUCUCUGAUGCUCAGUUUUCUCACUUUUAAAAUGGGGAUAUAAUCAUAUUUUUACUACUGACUUCACAAAAUGUUGUAAGGAUUCAAACUAUAAAACUUGUGAACUCGGUGCUAUAUGAGUCAAUUAUCAUUUUUUCCAAAUUUCUAUAAACUGAAAGCUCAUAAAAUGCUCCUCAUACACUAUUGCAAUUAUUUUGUAUGGCAUUAUAUAUGUACAUGUCUUCCCUGAUAGAAUAUAAGCUUGUUGAGAGUAGAAAUUGUUUCUUUUUUUUUUUUUUUUUGAUUUGUAUCUCCAGUGUUUAGCAUUGAAGAAGCUUAAGAAAUGUUUGUUGAUUAAUUAAUUAGCUAGUUGAUCUUUACAACAGCUAAGGUAAAUAUGAUCAUUAUUUCCAUUUUAUAUCUGAAGAAAUCAAGGCUUGGACAAGUUAAGUGACUUAGUUAGCUUGUAUGUGUAUGAGGCUGGAUUCUAAUGCUGCUCUUCCUGACUCCAAAUUCAGCACGUCAGACACAAUGACAAGCUGCCUCUCAUGAGUUAUAGGAAAAUACAACUUUAUGGGCUGUUAUUUCUGUAGGAACAAUGUUAUAAAGAUAACCCUAGUACAGUAUUUGUUAUAAUAGAUUCAUAAUAAUAUUGCUGAACUACACCCACCAAUGUCAACAAUAUUAUGUGGAAUAUACCAAUAUUGUUUCUUUUUCAGCUAUGGAAUUCUACUAUUCUCCUGGCUCCUCAGGCUUUCCUUCUCCUCACUAAACAUUGCCAGUUCCUUUUGACUGAGUUUCUGUAAGACUCGUCUGCCCACAAGAAAAGGAGCAUCUAGAUAGCGGAUUGAACAUUCCUGGGGGAAGGAAGACCUGAGUUCAAAUCCAGUCUCAGAUAUUUCCUCGCUGUGUGACCCUGAGCAAGUCAUUUCACCCUGUCUGCCUCAGUUUCCUCAUCUGUAAAAGAACUGGAGAAGGAAAUGGCAAACCACUCCAAUAUUUUUUGCUAAGAAAAGCUCAAAUGGUGUCAUGAAGAUUCAAGACUCAGACUGAAAUAAAUGAACAAUAAAAUUCCUCAUCUGUAAAAUGAGUUUUAGAAUUCUAAAGCUAUAAUCAUACGAAGUGGCUGGGGUAACUAGGGAUAGGUAUGUGCUAAACACCUGUGAGACAGAGUGAAGGCUCCAAGGACUUAUACUUGCAGAUCCUAGGGAAUGUCUCCCCUCAGAGGAAAUUGACUUCUAUGUCAUUUUUUAUUUUAUUUCUUUGUUUUUGUGAGAUGGGUAUAUUAGGUUGCUUCUGAGGUCCCUUCCAUCUCUGAUCCCAGGAAUUUAGCACUCUACCCACUAUAUCACA